rnacentral:lncRNA from 1 species
UUUUCUAGCCCUACAACGUUGAAUAACCAAACACCUAUUUCUCUUAAUCCCUCGCCAAGCCUGGCAGGGAAUACUCCCACCAUGACCCUGUCUAACCAAGACAUUCAAACCAUGGCUCUCCAGCUACAAACCACUGCUCACUGGUUGGGGCAGAUAAUGCAACAAAGGGGACUUAGCACCCCAAUAAACGCACUCCCAGUAGUGGAGGAACCCAGAACCGAUGAACCCCAACCUACCUCUGCCCGCCUCCAAACUAACAACCACGAUGCCGGAGAAGAGGAAGAACCGGAGGCCCGAAUUCAUGGGAGAAGGGCAAGAGAGUUGAUAGAAAAUGAAGAG